rnacentral:sRNA from 1 species
AGCAGAAGAGGAGAGGAGGUUGUGUAGGACAAGCUGCUCCCGACAGAAGGAUGUCGCUGCUGAGCCUGCCCUGGCUGGGCCUCAGACCGGUGGCAACGUCCCCAUGGCUACUCCUGCUGCUGGUUGUGGGCUCCUGGCUACUCGCCCGUGUCCUGGCUUGGACCUAUGCCUUCUAUAACAACUGCCGUCGGCUCCAGUGUUUCCCACAGCCCCCAAAACGGAACUGGUUUUGGGGUCACCUGGGCCUGCUGCCAUUGCGCCCAAGGAUGAUCUCUCCAUCAGGUUCCUGAAGCCCUGGCUGGGAGAAGGGAUACUGCUGAGUGGCGGUGACAAGUGGAGCCGCCACCGUCGGAUGCUGACGCCCGCCUUCCAUUUCAACAUCCUGAAGUCCUAUAUAACGAUCUUCAACAAGAGUGCAAACAUCAUGCUUGUGAGUCCCUUGAACUCGGUCCCAGCUGGAGUCUUGGGGUGGAGGGACCAUGGACACAUCUGGUCUGGAAUUUUGGCUCUUCUGGGUGGCACUGGGCCAUUGCUCUUCCUCUCUGAGCCUUGGUUUUCUCAUCUGCAAAAU